AACGAACGCUGGCGGCGUGCCUAACACAUGCAAGUCGUGCGAGAAAGUUCCUUCGGGAGCGAGUAAAAGCGGCGCACGGGUGAGUAACACGUAGGUAACCUGCCCCCCAGUCUGGAACAACUAGAGGAAACUCUAGCUAAUGCCGGAUGAGACCACGAUCCCUUCGGGGGUUGCGGCCAAAGAUGGCCUCUACUUGUAAGCUAUCGCUGAGGGAUGGGCCUGCGGGCCAUUAGCUUGUUGGUGAGGUAACGGCUCACCAAGGCUGUGAUGGCUAGCUGGUCUGAGAGGAUGACCAGCCACACUGGGACUGAGACACGGCCCAGACUCCUACGGGAGGCAGCAGUGGGGAAUAUUGCGCAAUGGGCGAAAGCCUGACGCAGCGACGCCGCGUGGGUGAUGAAGGCC
rnacentral:rRNA from 1 species